rnacentral:rRNA from 1 species
UCUACGGGUGGCAGCAGUGGGGAAUAUUGCACAAUGGGGGAAACCCUGAAGCAGCGACGCCGCGUGAGCGAAGAAGUAUUUCGGUAUGUUAAGCCUUAUCAGCAGGGAAGCAAAUGACGGUACCUGAGGAAGAAGCUCCGGCUAAAUACGUGCCAGCAGCCGCGGUAAGACGUAUGGAGCAAGCUUUAUCCGGAUUUACUGGGUGUAAAGGGAGCGCAGGCGGCUUUGCAAGUCUGAUGUGAAAUACCGGGGCUCAACCCAGGAGCUGCAUUUGAAACUGUGAGGCUAGAGUGUCGGAGAGGCAGGCGGAAUGCCUGGUGUAGCGGUGAAAUGCGUAGAUAUCAGGAGGAACACCAGUGGCGAAGGCAGCCUGCUGGACGAUAACUGACGCUGAGGCUCGAAAGCGUGGGGAGCAAACAGGAUUAGAUACCCGAGUAGUC